CUUUGCGCUUCACGUCCAGAAUCAAGCCCCCAAACAGCCUAUAUUCACACAGAGACUGAAUGGCAUUUAAUUACCACUUCUUCCAAAAUUCAUGAAUCCCUCUCUGCCAGUGUUGUCCAUGAUCAAAGCCUUGUUACCAUCGAUACAAAAGUGGUCAUACAUGCACUGAGAUGUAGGGAAAAUAUAGAUGUUGUCACUGAAGAUAUUUUUCCACUAUUACUGCAGUACAUGUACUGCUGGAACAACUGACUCUCAGUUUGGCUGAUCUGAUGAGUUUUUUGCUUAUGCCCUGUUAGCAUACCACACCAUUCAGGGUGAUGUUGAUGAAAAUCUAUGGCCAAAUUCAGUGGACAGGAUGGAUGGACCAGGCCAACAGUAGACAUCUGAUACUGAUAGGAAGACAAAUAUGUGUUAAUUAUUGUAGCUAUAUAGUGAAAAUAUUGAUUUGGUAUUACAGUACUUUGUUAUUGAUAGUAUGUAUAUUUCUUUUGCACUGGCAAUAUACUGUAUUUUGCAAACAAAUUGCAAAUACAGCAAACCCACUGAAGAAUAGUGGGUCAGUCAUGGUAUCUAUUGUGAAAGGUAAGCCAACAGAUCAAACAUUUCUUUAGCUGGCUUGAAAUAUUUGUGAAUGCAGAAAUAGAGAAAAGGGAAACACAUAGUAUAUGUAUUUGCAGUGUUACACGUUGUCUGUAUUUUUAAGCUCAUUGUACAUUGAGAGACAAAGUAGUCUUGUGGGAGAAAGCAUGUCAUAGUUAUGACAGCAUGAGUCACUUUUGAAUGAAAUAUGAAGUGUUUUGGUGGUUGAUGUGCAUUUUGCUCCAAAUGUUAACUGAGUUCCAUGUUUUAAAAGCAUACUGUGUGAAGGAGUUUUGAAGAAGUGGACAUGAUAUUGUGACAAGUCUAAAAACAAUUGUAAAAAAAACUGUAAAUUAAGGUAAUUAAUGAUAUCAGUACCCAUCCAUACAUCCACGUGUAUGACGGUACAUGAAUGUAAUCA